GUCAGCCUGUUGAAACAUCCCCUUCUCGGGAGGCUGGAAGGCUGUGGUGGUCUCUCACCUCUCCCCUGCAAGUGGUGUGGAACCAAGCCUGCAGUAUGUCCAAGGUCUGCCUAUACAUCACUUCCAAGUUUGGCAGUAACUGGAGAGACAAAAAAUAGAAUUACAACCCCAAGGAGUAGCCAGUCACAUAAAGAAGUUUCAGAGUGGCUGGUUCCAGGUUACAUCUAGCCCUUGGAUGUUUCCAAAGCAGAAUGGCAGCUUGCAGAGGCAGUGAGCUCCUCUUCCCUAGAGGGGUCUAGGGGAGGCCAGCUGUCCAGUUCCUCUGGGGUGCUUAAGAGGAUUCUGUGUGAGGCAGAGUUGGACGAAGCAACC